UUAAUUAUCAGCCUUCGCCUGAACGAGGAUUCUCUAAUUAAAAAAUGCAUUUUUUCUGUCAGUCCAUUGGAUAUACCAGCUAUUGCCUCCUCAGUCCCAUACAGAUAUCUGCAAAGAUUAAUAGAAGCAUUUUCUGAUCUUUUGGAAAGCUGUCCGCACUUGGAGUUUAUACUCCGCUGGUGUCAGGAGCUGUGCAAAGCUCAUGGAAAUUCAAUUCAACAAAAUUCCAGAAAUCUUCUUCCCGCUUUAAAAUCCUUGCAGAAAGCAAUUACUAGAAUACAUCAGGAUUUGGCAGAUACUUGUUCGUCUAAUGAAUACAUGUUACGAUAUUUAUGCUCAAGCAAAAACAAAUGAUGGACCACUAUUAGUGGCUGGGAUUUCCUCACUAUUGGCUGACAGAAAUAUAACCUAUUCUCCUGAAAAGGGAGAAGGUCAAGCACUCCCAUAGCUAACACAAACAUGCCAGAUUCAGAUCACGUGGUUGAAGGCGCCUGCUUGUUGGAUCUGACGCUGCAGUUUAUCGGGAGCUGUAAUAUGGCUUGGGAUCAAAUGCAUGACAGCACCAAGAACUGCCUUAAAUGCAAUUUUGAUAAAGGAAAGUUGAACGUGGUUCUAUGACAAUCAUGGAUGAGGAUUGCUGUCUAAUGUGCUGUAAGACAAUCAAAAGUUAAUAGAAUUAUGUUUUGUAGGGAAUUUAAUUUUCCUCCCAAAAACUCAAAUGAUUGUUUUUGUGUUGCAUUGUCAAUUAUAUCUCUAUCGAAGAAUUAUUUAAUCUUCUGGAUGC